UCUGUGUGUGUGUGUGAGUGAGUGAGUGACUGAAAUCUGGUUGAUGUGCAUUAGAUUUUCAUUGCGUCUGAAGAGAAACGGCUUCUGUCAGAUCUCUGUGCUGUUUCGAUUCCCCCUCACGUCAGCGUGACACGCGGCUCUGAGUCAUGCAGGCUGGGACGGCUCCGCAGUUCUGCAGCAUCACUGCAGACUCUCUCACGCACCGACGCUGUCUCAACAGUCCACGGUCACUCUGCUAAUGCAUUUCACGCGAGGCCGAUACCAAGCUGAGCUCCAUCUGCACCGCACUGCUACUCAUAUCAAAGAGGGAGCGAGUGACAGAAGGGAUGAGAGAAGCCGACUAAAAUGUGUGAAAGAAAUGUGCGGCGGACUCUAGGCUGCAUCCCUUCAGCAACAUAUGGGCUCCUAAUGAACAAUCUUCCAGCCAACAAUGUGGAAUGAGUUGAGCGACGUCAAGAGCUGCACGUGGAGACAGCAGGACCACCAAAUGAGUCAGCGGGCCACCAGACUCCCGUUUCAGUCGUGGGUUGCUUUUCAAAGAGGAGAUGUCACUACAGGUGAACACAGGAGGUGACCUAAACCACCUGUCCACUGCUUUGUAUCCUAGAGGCCACCUGUUUCCACAGCAACUAAGUGUUGAUGGGUCACGUAAAGCACUGUCGCAUUAACGAAAUUUUGUGGGCAAAAAAACUCAACUGCCUAUUUCAAACAAGCAGCUUUCUUUUUGAAUCGUGCACACGAUUUAUAAACCGAGAGAGCGAAUUAGUAAAUUGUGUGCACAAUUUAGCAAAUCGAGGGAACGAAAUAGUAAUCGUGUGCACAUUUUAGUACAUCGAGGGAAUGAAUUAGUAAAUUGUGCGCACAAUUUAUUUCUUUUUUCUUGCAUGUCAUGUGCGGGGCUCUGUAGUAUUGUGAUCGACUGUUGACAUUAUAUCAGUUGUGUGUUUCUCUCUUCAAAGUUUUCAGUGUCAGAGUGUUUUGUAAUGCAUGGUAUUUUAGGACUUUUGACCCUCUUUGAAUCUCUCAGUGCAGAGGCAUGAAUAAAACAUCUCACAUGUU